GGUGAGUGCGAGUGAGUGCCAGUGAGUGCGAGUGGAGUUGAGUGCCAGUGAAUGUGAGUGUAAGUGAGUGCGAGUGCGAGCGAGUGCCAGUGAGUGUGAGUGCAGGUGAGUGCGAGUGAGUGCCAGUGAGUGUGAGUGCAGGUGAGUGCGAGUGAGUGAGUGCGAGUGCGAGUGAGUACCAGUGAGUGUGAGUGCAGGUGAGUGCGAGUGCGAGUGAGUGCCUGUGAGUGUGAG